CCGAGUAGUUCUUCACCAGUCUUUUCCAUGUCAAGAUCAGCACUGAGUAUGAAAGUAUUGAUUUUCAAAAUGCAUAUCAAAUUUACACAUUUGCCACCAGCCAGUUUAUCACCACCUGCUAUCUUGUAUUCAAUUCUGUUACACAAGAGUGUAAAUUAAUGCGGAGUGCAAUCCUCGUAAUUAUUAUAGUUGGGGAGCAAAUGGGGCUGUGCAUAUGCAAGUAUCUAAUUAGCCACGUAAUGGUCGCAUACACGUGAAAAUACCCUGUUCAACUAUGAAAUCGUACCGACUGCUUCAGCUUAUACAACGGUGUGUAUAGUUGCCUUCCUUGCAUAAGGAGAAUUAGGCCUUCUGUUUUUAAUAAUACUGCACCAUUCUGUUCAAUUCUGAGCCCUUAAUCUUGCAUCACAGUAGAACACUCCGGUAGCAACAAAUAAUUGUGUGUUUUUCACACUUUCCAUUUUGUAAAAUGCUACUUCCUGACCUCUGUGAAAUGCAUACAGUGGGCUACUUUGAUGUAUAAUUAGAUUAAUCUUAACUAAAAAGUAUCCUGGUGUAGCUGUGACAGUAAAAAGAAUAAGAUUUUACCUACUCAGGAAUUUUAAUUUUCAGUUGUCUUUUCUCAUGAGAGCUCUGUUGUCUUAGUAUGUCACACAUAGUUUCACCACUUCUGUUUGUUUUAGACUGAGACAACUUGGCCUUAUUAGCUUCUUCUAUCCCCUUCAGUUUUGGUGGGGUCUCAAGUGCCUCCUUAGUUCUAUUGCAAAAGGAAGUCCUCAUAAACCACAUAAAGCCCUAAAAAAGCUGAGGGCAAAAUUGAGUGGAUCUUUGCUCUCAUUGGCUGCAUCUUCCCCUCAUGCAGUGCUGCCACGGGUGUCUAAAGCUCUGCAAAGGGAAAGAGAAUUGCAGGCUGCUGGCUCUCCAUGUCAGAGAGCAUGCAUUCACUCCCAGUACCUUUUCUGGAUCUGCCAAAUGUAUUGCUGGGAUUUCUAGGAUACAACAUCAUCAUUUCAGCACUUCUGUAAUUUACAGACAAAGAACUACGAAAUAGGAACAUAGCUAGGAGGAUUGGGCAUAGUAUGAGGUCAUGCUGUCUAAGGCUGGCCAGAUACUUGCCUUUCCACUCAACUUGUAGAGGCAAAUUUGCUCAUUUCUGAACGUUCUCUACUUCUUUUAGAUGAGCAUCAGCAAGACUGAUAAAAAAAUAGUUGGUGUGUUUUUACUUGGAACUUCUCUCCAAAAAAUGAGAAUUUACUUUGCUUAUAUAGAGUAAUUAAGAAUACUCAUACUCAAUAAUUAAUUUGGGGGUUAAUUUUACCUCUCCCCCCUCUCCCAAUGCAGGCAUCUGCAUACUUCUGUACAUGCACAUAUGCAUACUCCAUUAAAAUUACAUCAGCAUAAGUAUGAAUAUCAUGAACCAAAAGUUUGGCAUCCCUACUAUAGUGACAGCUGACUGCCACCUAUGGGCAGGAGUUCAUGUUAACAUAUUUAGCUAGAAUUUUAAUAUUAUUCUUUGCAAUUAAUUCAAUUUGUAAUUGUUCUAGUAGGACAGAGCUUCAAUUCAUUUGCUAUAUAUUUGUCCACGGCAAUCACUUCUCCCUCUGAAAACUGAAUAUUAAAACCAGCUUCUUUAUGAAGGGGAAUCAGCUUUGCGACGAUUAAAAAAAAAUGGGGUAGGACGUUCUUAUUUCUGUUAUCUGAAUAAGGAAUAAAUAGAAGCACCCUACUUCUCCAAGCAAAGAAAAAUGACUCAGUGGUACACAGACAGGCACAUCAACAAGAUAAUGCUGUAUUUAAUGAUUACUGUAAUUUUAAAGUUUAGCCAUCUCAAGGUUGUAAUAUUUUGUUGACGGCCUUCUUUUACUAAAUACAUACAAAUAGGCUGGUUAUGCAGUCCCGUGAAAAUGUGUAUAUAAUUAGUAUGUCAUAGUAAUUCUCUAUUCAAAAAUUUUCAUUUUUCCGAGGAAAAUGAUGGCUAAAGUGGGGGAAGAGAAAGAAGAGCAGAAAAAUGUAUGGCUUGAUUAUGUAAGCCUUGAUUUUUCUGAUAAUCAGUGCUCAUUUACGAAAGAAAAAAAGCAAGUGCAGACUGAAAUGUCAAAUUCAUUGUAUUAAAAAUCGUGUUUCUAAUUCAGCUUCCAGGUACUUAAAAGCAAAUAGGCUGACAAUUCUGUCUAUUUGAUUACAAAUAACAAAAAUGCUCGACUACAGCUACUACAUCGUAGUAUGCUGCAGUAUAUCGUGCAGCCCUCAUCAUUUCUCAGAAAUAACAUACGUAAACAUAGCUGGAACAGUUUAGCGAAUUAAUACAUACAUUUUCGUUUGGGAAAAAAGAUCAUUUUACUUCAGUCAGCAGAAGGUAUUUGUAACCAUAACAUGCUUCCCUUUUUGGGGAAGGAGCGCAGAAUUUUUGAGGGAACAGAGACAGAAAUGAACUUUAAAAGGGGAAAAUAUGUUAAAAGAGACAGAAACUUACAGGAACUAAGAAUGAGUUUGAUAUGAUGAAUUUUUCAAAAUCCCCCUUUUAAAGUAAUUUUAUUUCUGGGCCUCCUCAUUUGUGUUCCACCCUGUUAAAUAUUUUUUUUUGAGAUAGUCUGGUAAUUGUAAGUAUUACAUUUGUGCUCAUCUCAUGCGUUUUUACUAAGUUUUAUUACUAAAGUUACGUCGUAAACUUGGGAAAUACUGUACAAGCAGCAUACACCAUUUUGGUAUCAGACGUUAUCACGUCGGCAUUUCAUGCUUACCCUCCAACAGCAUAAGCACCCUUUAUCAUCUAUGGAAUUCUGACAUUUAUGGUAAAAUAUUUGUACUCAGUACACAAAGGGAUUUUGAAACUUAAGUAACUGUGUUACACAGCAAUUUAAUUCCAAUACAUUUUGCUUCUUACUACUGAAUUAAGAUUGCAAAAACAGUCUGACUUUCUUGUGUCCGACCGGUAACAUUCCCUUGCAUUUUCAAACCACGGUUUAAACCGAACCCACUCAGACUCUUUGGAUAGAAACUUCAUAUCAGACAAAAAUUACUCUUUAGCACGUUUGAUGAAUCCAGCUUAAAACCAAACACAGAACUGCAUGAACAUCUGCGACAAACGACUCGCCUUGGCCAUUCUCUUCUUUCUUAUUUAAUCUCCCACUGGAGUACAGUUUAGUUGGUUUGCUAUUUUAUAGUGCAGAUCUCUCCCUCACCAACCUACUGCUUGCAAAAAAGAACUUUAAAAAUUUCCAUGUGUGAGAACAAAACCUGAGCAGAAUAGGGCUGCACCUUUUAAAAUGGGUACUAGCAGGGGAAGGGAAAGCAACGAACAAGCUAGCACUCCAAAUUUCCAGGAAUAACAAAAAGGGGAAAAAAAAAUAGGAAAAAUGAAACCGAGGACUGUUAAACUAAUAGAUCAGUUACUAGAAUAUGAAACAGAACCGUCCUUUCCUGGUGAUGCUUCACUGACUUGCUGCUUGCAUACCCACACGAGUAUAAACUGAGAGCAAAAUUUUUCUUAAUGUAGGCAGUAUUACGAAUGUUGAGAUAUUCCUGUUUCAGUAUCUUUAAAUCUGAGGCCUUGUUAAAGAAGACGCUACUUGGAAAGAUCUCUGAGAUACCGGCAAACCCUGCUUGGUUUCUCCUGAUUUUCUUCCACAAAUGAUCUGUUUGAUAGACGGGGGAAAAAUAAAAGAGCAAAUAGCAGGCAAAGCACCUUUAAAGUGCCUGUUGUUACUUUUGUGCCUUUACAAAAAGACGAGGAAAAUUCCACUUCCCAAGUAAAGAAAUACAGAGCAGUGUAACAUCAUAGCUUUAGAAAUUAUUCUUUCUGUUUUUCACACAUCGCCUCAAUUUCACCCGAAUGCUGCUUAUACUGCGUAACACAGAUUUUACUUUACAUAAUAUCGCUUAGUGCCUAUAUGGAUUAUUUGUUACCUAAUAACUGUUAGAUUGGUCGUGAAUUUUUACUGUGCUAGGUGUUUUUCAGAACAUAGUUACAUGUCUGCAUUUUUUUUUGACAAACUUUCAAAAUAUUACUGUAUUCUGGUCUAUUUCACCAUGAUUUAACACUGCAGGAGUGCAUCCAGAUAUUCAUAACACAAUACGCUUGUAGGCACAACUAAACAAAAAGCAGAUUAGCUUGUGAUGUAGUGGAAUGAGUGGGACUUUCUUCUAAUGGAGAAAAACCUGUUUGCUCAUAAUAAUUCCAUUUAUAGCUGAGAAAGGGAGCAAAGCACCUGGAAUUGAGUCAGUGUGAAUUCCAGCAAUGCAAUGAGCUUCACAAAAGCUGUGGUUACCUUGUUUUUUAACUAACCACACUGAGCUGACAGCUAUUAACAGUAGCAAGGACUUGCAUAACGAGGACUUGAAGGAAAGCUUAGCACUAUCCAUGCCAGAGCGAUUUAAAGAGAAUGAAGGCACGUAUUUCUUUAUGAUGCAUUAUGUAACAACAUAGAGGGCAAUCUGAGACAUUUAAAAAGAUACGGGGACCCACAUAUAAUUUUACACUUGUUAUUUUAGAGUGCUUAUAACCCAAUGCUUAUGAAACACCUAACUUAGGAAUGUGAUCCUGUAAAAUGAGUUUAAAAUGUUUUUGAAGACGUGUUUUACGUUUUGUACGUGCUUAGAAAAGCAUAGUAGGUCCUACAAUUCAUUUUCUUCAAAAUUCUGCAAUGUAUGCAAUCUCAGAUAAAAUUGUCAAAAUCUAGGAUAGCUGGACCUUCUGGUUCACAUUAGUGUGAAGAGAAAACUGCUGUUGAGCUGACACGUUGAUAGAUUAUGAGUUCUGCUGAAGAAUAGCUAAAAAUGGUGAUUCAAUCUUGUCGCUACUGUAUAAAAAAAAUAACAGAAGUGGAGAUGUUACUCAUGAUAUCGUGUCUUUCAUCAAAACCCUAAAGGGUUCUGGUGCAUUGAACACGUUUUCCUUCUGAGAGCUUUUGGCUGUAUAAAAUAUCGGUGUAAGUAAAUGAAACUAAAUUGGCCUAUUUAAAAAACAAAUAGGAUGAGCUUUUGUGCCCUAAGUUUAUUUAAACAAGAAAAUAAAGAUUGGAAUAUAAAAAGACUGCCUUUUAAGGUGGUAGGUUCUUUUCCUUUUCAGUUUUUACAAUAGAGAUUCUGGUCUUGUAACGAUGAAAUGGAGAGCUGCAGGAUUAUGAAACAACUAAACACGAAGGGCAAAUCUGACUGGAAGAGACAGAGAUAUUAUUGCAAUUAUCUGAAACUUAGCUGGGUUAGUUCCUUCACUAACCUAAAUCAAUGCAGUUCCUCUGAAAUCAAUAGGGUGAUACAGAUUCAUCCAAAACAUACCUGGCAUGUAAGAUAAUGCGUCACCUUCUGUUAGGACACGUAAACAUAAACACAUGUGGAGAGGACUCUUUUCUAUAUAUCUCCUUAACCUUUAAAUACUCGAAACCGUACUUUUAGGAGAGGCAUUUAUGUACUUCUGCUAUUUUACUCCUAUAUCUCUGUUGGUAUGAAUCUCGUGUGGUCAUUUACACUAAAAUAAAGUCAGGUCCAAACGCUGACUUCAGUCCUCAGUGCUCCGUACUUAUCUGUGCUGCUGCAAAUCACCAGGAAGGGCUCAAGAUGGCAGGGAGCCGGGGCCUUGCUGGCUGCUGUCUUCCUCCCGUGAAAAUCACCGAGCGCUCCCACUGCUCAUUUCUGAAUCACCCAAGGCGUCCUGCAACAACAGAAGGGAACCAAGACUUCACAAUCCUCAUCCUCACCGAUGGGAGAGCAGAACCGUGACGUAAGCCCUGCUCUCGGUUUGGGGAUGGAGGGGGAGACGAGCAGUGAGGCACAAAGUUCAGCAUCUCCUCCUGCGGCACAGCACAGCCAGAAUCCAUGAUGAAAUCCCCAACUGCCUCAGCCCCGCUCUGCUCGCUGCCUUACGAGCCAGAGAUUUGCCUGGGUUUGUUCCUGAAGGACUGGUGUGAGUGAGAGGUCUCAAGUGACCAUGGUGGUUUAAAGAAUGAUCUUGUCACGUGACUCUGAAGUAGAGCAAGAGUUGCAGCAGACUUCAACUUUCAGUCCUACAUUGCCUGUUCAAGAAAGGUCUAGAGAAGAAAGUCCUAAAUAACAUGGUGAAUUAAAAAAAAAAAAGAUAAUUGCUGGAGUAUCAUCACAGAAUGGCCUGGGUUGAAAAGGACCACAAAGAUCAUCCAGUUUCAACCCCCUGCUAUGUGCAGGGUCGCCAACCACCAGACCAGGCUGCCCAGAGCCACAUCCAGCCUGGCCUUGAAUGUCUCCAGGAAUGGGGCAUCCACAACCUCCUUGGGCAACCUGUUCCAGUGUGUCACCACUCUUUGUGUGGAAAAACUUCUUCCUAAUAUCCAACCUAAACCUCCCCUGUCUCAGUUUAAAACCAUUCCCCCUUAUCCUAUCACUAUCCACCCUUGUAAACAGCCGCUCCCCUUCCUGUUUUUACUCUCCCUUCAAGUACUGGAAGGCCACAGUGAGGUCUCCCCAGAGCCUUCUCUUCUCCAAACUAAACAAGCCCAGUUCCCUUAACAUUUCCUCAUAGGAGAGGUGCUCCAGCCCUCUGAUCAUCUUAGUGGCCCUCCUCUGGGCCCGCUCCAAGAGUAGUAAGUCAAUAGCUGAAAAGUGAUGUGAAAAAGAAGGCAGCUAGAAGAAAUAAAGGAUUUCUUAAAACCACUCCCACCCAGCAAUGCUGUUUCUUGUAUCUUUAGUUUCAUCUGCUUCUCGAAGUCUAUCUUGCCAAAUAUGCCUACCUUUCAAAAUUACUCCAGCUUCGGAAUGAAAGUGUCAGCAGUUGCAAGACUCUUGAGGGUAUGAUUAUCUUAUUUCCUGUCUGUCUAUUACAUUUAAACAUCUGCCAAACUGGAAAGGUCAUUUUUCUACUAUGACUCUGGAGUACACUUAAUGAGACUCUUGUUACUGACUGACCUCUUGUACCUGGAGAGAUUAAACAUCUUGGACAAGUUUUCAUUGCUUGAAUCUGUGCCAAAUCCUUUUAAUGCGUGAAGGACUCGAUCACUUUUAAACCAGUGGUAUAGAGCAAACAAGCUUCGGUCUGAUGCCAGGGGGCUGCUUGAUUUUUGCAGUAACAAAACAGAAACUUAUAAGCACCUUGGGUACAGCAAAAGAAAAUAUAUCUGUGCUGAUCUUUGUCAACAGUCUCAUCAGAUUGCUAGGAACGUCCCUCCUACCAGGCUACUUUGCAGCUGUGAAUGAAAGCUCAUUAUCCGUGGCCAGUGCUUACCAUAAGAAGCAUAACCUUAGCUUUCAAAAUAAGGGACUUUUAAAGUAUUUAUGUUGUUAAAAUUGAAGUAAAUCAGAUCAUGUUGCUGUGUUGCUUUUAGCAACUUGCACCUACUCUACUUCCAUCGUACUUAGUGAGAUUUUUCAGCUACAUUUAAAGACUAAGUCUAGAAUGGAGCUCUGUUUAUGAAACACUGGCUAUUAAUGUUUCACAGCAUUUGGCAAUGCUGGUUUUUCUGAUUAUAUUCAACCUUGCUGAACAGGAAUGUUUGCAUCAUUUAAGAGCAAUUUUUUUUUUUUUUUUGCACUGCCUGUAUUUUGUAUCUUCUCAAACAAAGAGAUGAUGACAGAUGAUGCCUCAAAGAUAAGUAACAUUCUACUAUAUGACCUCUGCCUACAAAAAGCACAGCUUCCCUGGAGAAGAUGAUCCCUAUGCCUGAGACAACACUGCUUGUGAAUUCCUAUGCUGAGUGAAUUUCAAAGUUCUAGUUUCCCUACUUUGGGCAGCCACAUCACUCUUCUGUUUUCCUGCAGGAAACAUUGGACUGAGAUUCAUAGCCUUGUUCAUGCUUCCCCAUAUCUUAUGUUUUUCCACUUAGAGAGUUUGGUGUCAGCAAAAUCAAAGAAAAUCUCUGAAUAAUUGGCAUUGAUAUAUUCUUUUUUUUUUUUUUUGUCACUAUGCUAUUUGCAAAAUGAUUGUCAAUGCAGUACAUGAUCUUUUGUCAAAAAACCCUGCAGUUAAAAGUUUCAUUUAUUAUGCACUGACUGAAGCUUAUACCUAUCUCAGCUGCAUUUAAUGCUACCUUUGUGUUGUUAAUUAAUCUGAGAAGAGUUCCCAUUUUUUCCAAAAGACUGUAAAUGGCCUCUUGUAACCGUUUAGCAGAGAAUGACCUCCUACAAGCUCCUUUUGCUGCAUCUGCACAAUGCUGCUGAGAGGGAACUGCUGGUUGCAAAGAGGAAAUACAGCAAAGCUGGACAGUUGUACUGCAGCCCAGAGAGAAGUGCUGUGUAAUGCCAGUAUAACUAGAAAGAUGAAGUCCUCUGCAAACCAACUGUUGAGUGUCAGCAGUUCAUGCUAGCAGAACUUCUGCCAGUAAAACUGCCUUCCUCUCAAACAAGGCCAGCAACAAAAGCACACAGAAAGAUACAGGUUUAUGGGAAUAUCUGUAGGGUGCUGGUGAGGAGGGCAACUGGGCUCUCUCCUUGACUCUUACACUGCUGUCCCUGUACAAACAGCUCCAAGGACGCCUGCCCACCAGGGUCCUGAUGCCAUG
ensembl:lncRNA